GGUUUGGUGGUCUAGUAGUAUGAUUCACCCUUAGGGCUCCAGCUAUAGCAUGGGUGAGGUCCCGGGUUCAAUUCCCGGCCAGACCC